rnacentral:lncRNA from 1 species
AUAUAGUGGCAGGGGGCAAAAACAGCCGUUCGGCAAGGCGUGAGUGCCCAGAAUUCGUGGCGCGCGCACGAGGUGUGUGCGCUGCCGAGUUCCCGGGAAAGCCGACUUUCGUUCACGUGACGAAUAUAGUGGCAGAGGGCAAAAACAGCCGUUCGGCAAGGCGUGAGUGCCCAGAAUUCGUGGCGCGCGCACGUGGUCUGUGCGCUGCCGAAUUCCCGAGAAACCCGACUUUCGUUCACGUGACGAAUAUAGUGGCAGGGGGCAAAAACAGCCGUUCGGCAAGGCGUGAGUGCCCAGAAUUCGUGGCGCGCGCACGAGGUGUGUGCGCUGCCGAGUUCCCGGGAAAGCCGACUUUCGUUCACGUGACGAAUAUAGUGGCAGAGGGCAAAAACAGCCGUUCGGCAAGGCGUGAGUGCCCAGAAUUCGUGGCGCGCGCAGGUGGUCUGUGCGCUGCCGAAUUCCCGGGAAACCCGACUUUCGUUCACGUAGUGUCCCGGGUCAAAACAGCAGUUCUGCAAGGCGUGAGUAAACAUGAAAUUCGUGGCGCGCGCACGUGGUCCGUGCAGAGCCGAGUUCCCAAGAAAAGCCGACUUUCGUUGACAUGACGAAUAUAGUGUCCGGGGC